CUUGUCUAGAGAUCCCCUUUUCUGGUGUUUUUUGUGGGUGAGCCAAGCAUAUGGAUUUUCUGUGAGGGGGCUUGGGGACAGGAAGCAGCUUGUUUCUUGUGAUUACUUGCUGCUCUACUAUUGUGAAAAAGAAUACUGCAGUCGUAUGUUGCCUGAGCCAUGAGAUCUACAUACUGUAUCUGUCUACUUUCAAAGCACCUAUUGCUACAUAGAAAUCUUUCCAGGCUAAUCCUUCCCUAGCUUAUAGAAAGAAAUUCUGCAACACUAAUACUGUUGAAUGCAAGAGCACACAGAGCUUGACUUCUGGAAGAGGUCACUAAGGAAUGUGAUCCAAUGUGUUCCACAUCUACUGGAAAUGCAGCUGUAGUAUUAGCAUGCUUUGGAUUGGGUUAUAUCACUGAAUCAUAUAUGGGCAAUAAACAGAAUAACUCCUAACACCGUGCUGACUUUUCCUGUGGCUCUGAGGUAGUCACAAAAGGAAAUAUCCAAUGAUAACUGAGUUCUCUCCCAGUGACACACAGCUUGGCUAUAUUAGCAACCUGUUGAUCUCAUGUGAAGUCCCAACAAUGCACUACCCAGGAACAUGAACAUCCUGAGAGGGUAGACUUUUGUGGAAGUCUCAAAGUGGAGAAAAAUAGUUCUAAAUCAGAUCUGUAGCUCUUCCUCAAUAUGAUGAUCUGACGUAAACAGAAGCAACACAUACUCUCUUAAUGAUUGUGGAUGAGAUUUCAGCAACACUUUUUUGGGAGUCCACUAUGGAAAUUGUGAGUUCUCUUGUAAGCUAUUACUUGCUCCAUUUUUGUUCUUGGAAUGACACAGUUUUUCAUCUUUAAAUAACAUAUGUUGAGUCCAAUUGGGAAGUAUUUUGACAGUGUACCAUACUCUUGUUCCUUUAUGAAACAGAGUAUGAGAAUUCUGUGUUGUUCACAGCACCAAUUCAAAGGGAAAUUGGAAAUCACUUUAGCACUAAGCAUUUUCAAACCUGCUGCUUCAGAGACUGUCUCUCAACAAUAGUGAUGAAGAAUCACGUUAAUUAACAGUUAAGUAACAAUUAUUAUCCCCAUGGCAUCAAAAGACUUCACAUUUCUCUUUAAAUUUAGUAGAUCAGAUUAUCAUUUAAAAAACAACAGUAUUUUAUAAUAAUGUAGAGUACCUGCCUGACCUGAGCAAAACAAAAUAUUAAGUUGAAAUUUGAGACCUUGGUUUUUUAACAAGAUAUCAGCCAACUUUAAGUAUGGUUGCUGGACAGAGUCCACCAACAAAUAACAGAAAAGGAGUGAAUUAAAUACUGCCAGGUCACAUUCUUUUGGAUGACUGACUGAGAUGUCUGCCAUAAAUGUGCCAUUUGGAAGUGAGAGAAGGCAAGUAGACUUGUUGAAGGUAGACAAGACAGCUUGUGUCCUAGUGCUGUUGAAGACAUGCCUGGGAAAAAUGCUGGUGGGUUGUUGCACUCUGCAGAGAUCUGCUGCACUGUAUCUGUGAUUUUGGGAAAGAGUCCAAGAGCAGGAGUAGGGUGAGAAGCCAAGGCCUGACCUGAAAGGGGAGAGCUAAGGGCUUCUUGCAGUUGCAUGGAAACAGUGAGCACGCACUUUGCCAUUGUAGACAUUCAGUUGCUGGAAUCAUCCAGCCAUUACAGAAAUCCAACCAUUGGAGCAGGCCAGCAAUUGGAACUGUUGAGCAGUGAGCAAGCAUGACAACAUGGCUCUGUUUUGGGGACUGAUUUUGCAUUCAGCAGCAAGUAACGACCUGGAAACAGCUGGAAGAGGAAAGUCAUGGUCUUUUCAUAUCUUGUUGAGCUUUUAUUUUGUCAACAAGUAUGAAGCCGUAAAGCCCAGAGAUAAAGAUGACCACACAUAAAUUAGGGCUGCAUUCCAUGAUGUAGUGUAUUCUUUAUGUAGGUAGUUCUUGGCAUAUUUAUUACUGUGUUACUGUAACUUCCUGAGGUGGGCUUUUUUUUGCUACAGUUCUGAAAUGCCCAACACAGCCAAACAGUAAGGCUGUAAAUAGAGCCCAUGGAACUUUCUUUUAUUAAAUGUACGGCAAUGUGAAUAUUUAAACACAAAAAGUAAGAAAUUUAUCACCCUGAGUAUCUAAGUCAUUACUGAAGUAAAAUGUUAGGUUAUAUACUAUUUGUCUACUCCAUACAAACAUCCUAGAGUAGUUAUGAAACAAGUGGUUAUAUGCUGUUUUAUUUAUGUAUUCUGUUAAACAGCGCUCUACAAAGAUAGCAAAAAAUGUGUAUUAGUACUAAAUCUAGCCAUGCAGUUUAAACAGAUUUCUGGAUUUCACCACAAUGACAUUCUAUGCAAAUAGAAUUUAACACAUGUAAAAUUAAUUUGAAAUAAACUACUGCGUCAUAUAGCAGUUACAUAUGAACAUAAUGAAGGUCUAAUCAUUCCAUAGUGAGGCUCUUAACAGAUUGUCCUCCAAAUGAAUGCACUUAAUGUUUAACUCUUUCUUUGGCAUUACACAUCAGAAGUUCAGCAUUUCUAAAUUUUUAAUUGGUGUGUAUGCCAACCAUUUCCAAUUAAUAUAUAUAUAGUUAAAUAACUAAAUCAAUGUUUAAGCUCCUUUACCAAAACAAAUCCAGCCACAUACAACAGCAGUUUGUUAGUGGCUCCUUUUCAGAAUUUGCUGGUCUCAGCAGUUUUUUAUAAUUGUGCUCUUCUUGCUUGGAUGCCUACAGUCAGUCACUCUAUGUUCUGAUUCAGAAAUAUAAAACAAUAAUCUUCCUCUAAGAAUAUCUCAGUGAAGUUGGAUUAAUCAAGAACUAAACAGAUCACCACUGUAAAGGGAAAUUCCAUUUUUUUUCAAACGUCUGAGGAGAAACGUUUAGCUACCUUGUAGAAAGACACUUCUUUCAUCAGGUUGAAUGCUGUUAUCAGCAAAAUGCAAGAAAGAUUAAGGAUCCUCUUUUUUUUUUUUGAUUUCUAGAUUCAAGUCAAUCUUUUCUCAGCCAAUAUUUUGUGGGAAAAUAUACCUGAGUUUGAAUGAUACAGACUGUACAAAUAACUGUAUUAUAAUAAUGAGUUUAAAUGGAAUCUGAGAAGUUAUUUGUCAUUCAUAAAUAAAGUCUGAGAAAGAAUCAGAAAGAAUAUAUAUCUUACCUUGGAACUGCAAUGGUGCUAUUUUUUGUCAUUUCACUCCAGGUUAAUUAAUUCCAUAUUAUAUACUAAAGAGAAUGAAAGACAUAUGUCCCUGUGAACUUAA